rnacentral:rRNA from 1 species
UACAGAGGUCUCAAGCGUUUGUUCGGAUUCAUUGGGCGUAAAGGGUGUGUAGGUGGCGCGCUAAGUCGGGUGUGAAAUUUCGGAGCUUAACUCCGAAACUGCAUUCGAUACUGGCGUGCUUGAGGACUGGAGAGGAGACUGGAAUUCAUGGUGUAGCAGUGAAAUGCGUAGAGAUCAUGAGGAAGACCAGUGGCGAAGGCGGGUCUCUGGACAGUUCCUGACGCUGAGGCACGAAGGUCAGGGGAGCAAACGGG